UACGUAGGGGGGCUAGCGUUGUCCGGAAUCAUUGGGCGUAAAGAGCGUGUAGGCGGCCCGGUAAGUCCGCUGUGAAAGUCGGGGGCUCAACCCUCGAAAGCCGGUGGAUACUGUCGGGCUAGAGUGCGGAAGAGGCGAGUGGAAUUCCUGGUGUAGCGGUGAAAUGCGCAGAUAUCAGGAAGAACACCCGUGGCGAAGGCGGCUCUCUGGGACGGUACUGACGCUGAGACGCGAAAGCGUGGGGAGCGAACAGG
rnacentral:rRNA from 1 species